GACCCAUGGAGCUGACCGGUACUAAUAAGCCGAUAAUUUGAUA
rnacentral:rRNA from 1 species